UCUCUAUGUCUAGCAGUUCCAGGAAGUGGUUCUCCUUCAUCAUUCUGGUCAACCUUUUCUCUUUCUUCUCCACUUCCCUUAUCUGGCAAACGCAUGUCAGUAAAUUCUCCCAUCUCAUGGAGCUUCUUGCUAGCAGCCAAACAAACAGCCUGUUGUGCAAGGCGCAUCGAACUGCAUACAGGACCCUCAAGCUUCUCAAAUGGUGCAUUACAAGGAAGUUGAAGCUUGCAUGAAUAUUCUGUGGGACCUCCUGGCUUCUCAUGCCUCUCCAUAAUAAACUCAGGACGAAGUAUUGAAUACCUGUCACUCGGUAGCUGAGAGCAAUAGAAAUGGAUAAGCCCAACAGCAGAAUUCAAGCUCACAAUAGCACCAGUAGAUUCCACCUGGUACACAGUUCCUGGAAUUGUAUCCACAGAAAUUAACCUUGAUGUAUCCUUAAGGUGACUAAGGUCAGUUCUCUCAAUUGCUUCUUUCCGCAGGGUCUCCUCACUAUUCCUAGCAUUUCUUAAGAAUGCUCCAUGAGACAGAUUUCCCCUCUCAACCAUCAAGAUGUAAUCUGAACCAGGCUUUCUUGCACGACCCCUAGACUGAAUGUAUGCCAGAACAGUUUUUGCAAGAUCAAAGCGAAUAACAACAUUGCAUUGUCUAAUAUCUAGUCCUUCCUCAGCAACACUUGUAGCAACCAACAGUGUCACACGACCAUCUCGAAAUUUGGCAAUUGUGUCCUGCAUCUGGGAUGUCCGCAUUUCCUGACUGUUAUUGUGUCCAAUCAAGCUUGCACACCUAACAAAACUCAGUGAUGGAAGCUCUGCAAAUACCUUAGGAAGGACUAAAGCAGCUACUACUCGCUCGACAAAGAUGAUUGCACGAAAAUCCUCUGUGUACUGAUACUUAAGAAGUAUUUUUAUUAAUGACUGCACUUUUGGGGUCACUUUCCAUCAACUAUAGAUGCCCCUGUUAUCACGUCCACAUGCUCUCCACCAGAGAUGAUUACACCAACAAAUUAGACAAGCAUAAAAUAAGCAUCAAAGUAUAUCUUCAAAAUAACUUAACCAUUCAAAAAUUCACAGAGGAACAAAAAACCAGUACUUGCACAACUCAAGCAAGUCGGUUGACACAUAUUGUUGUGUAACAUUUGUAACCCCAGCUACACUGAAGGUCACAUAAGUGAGGUUGGCCCUAAAGUGUACUCCAUUUGGUGUUCAAAGAUCAAUGAUCACAGUAGCUUUAUUCAUAUUAUUGCACCCAGUAACUCAUCCAAUUUUGCUAACUUUGCUAUUAAUUUACUUGUUUUACCUUGAUACCACUGAUGCUAUAGACUAUUGUCCAAAAACUUCAAUUAUAAAAAUUUUCACAUAAUCCACGACAAGAAUAGUUUCAGGAAAUUUUAGACUCCCUUUAAUUAACAAAGUUUAAUCUAAUCAAUUCUCAAUCCAAGCCACAAAGCUUUACUACAAAAAUCUUUUUUUCUCUAUUCUUCAUAGAUUUACCAAAUCUGAUCUGCUUAUUGUUAUGUGGGCAAGAAUCAACAACUAUAUCCACCAUGACUGUCAGGGAGCUCCCCUUCUUCAAUAUCAUCAUGAUCAGUCCCAUCUUAAGCAACUCCAUUAUCAUUGUCAGUAAAUUUUGUGUCCUUAUCUGUCACAGCUCCCUCUGUUAAUUGGCAUUGUAAGAGCGAAACAACUUUUUCCAGAUAGGAUUCUUGAAACUUGACAUCAAGCUGGUAGUUUGCCCUCUCAUCAUUUUGUAAAGCCAUCAAAAAGGACUGUGCAACCCGCAAAUGACAUGGACCAUGCAAAUAUUUCCACAACCAAUUACUUGGUUAACCUUUUGAAUCAAGUUACCAGCCCCAUCACUUUCUGUACUUUCAGAGACACCAUCUACUUGGCGCAGAUCUUCCUUAGCCCCAGCAUCUCUAGCUCCCAUAAAUUGCCAUUUACUCCUUCUUAAGCUUCAUUGUGCAGUUUCUUCAACAGCCACUUCCAUUUGCUUUAUUUGUUCAUGAAGGGACCAUAAGCUGGCAGCUUUGUCACACCACCAAAAUUUCCGCAGGCAUUGGCACAUGUUUUUCCAGUUCCUUGUGGUCUUUUAUUAUACAAACUAUGGAAUCAAGUUUACUUUCAAGAUUACGGAUUUUUAUAGCACAAUCAACUUGACUUGAAACACCUUUCAAGUUAACAGGAGAAGCGGUCAUUCCAAAAACAGAUGGUUUUUUUUUUUUUCCUUUGGUCUUGUAUGAUAGAAUUCUGACAUCACUAAAGAAUAUGGAUGUUUCUUCACAGCAUGGUGACACUCAUCCAGAAUAAGGAGAUUUAUUGCUUCCAUUUUGAUUAUGCUAUGUCUCAGAAUGUUCAACAGAAUCUGAGCUGUCAUCACUAAAACCUGUUUUGAUUCGAACUCAGGCUGCCACCUCCGAGCAUCCCAGAAAUCUUGGCCCAUUUCACCACAAUAAUGGCCCACUUGGUAAACAGUAUGCUUAGGAAUGACUUCUGUAUGCUGAAAUUAGAAAAGCAUAACAAAUCCAUCAACUAACUACUCUUGCAGUCAAUGGACACUGUCAAAGUUCUACAUUCUUAGACAGAACAUGCAGAAUAGAAUACCUGAUAAACAAGUGGAGCCUUUGGAACCAAAAAUACACCAAGCAUUUUCUUAUUCUGCCUUUGCAAGUCGUUACAAAUACUUUUAAUGAGAAAUAUAGCAAUGAGGGUCUUCCCUGCACCAGUUUCAAGAAAAGCUAUUGUAUUUCUCUUCUUGGCCUGUUGAAGAACAUCCGAUUGAUACUGGCGGGCUUGUUCCUCAGGUAGUUUCUCCUUUGUCUCCUUGGAUUUCUUCUCAGCCUUUCCAUUGCAAUCCAGACCCUUGUCACUGCAUUCUUUUCCUUCUUGAAUUCCAUUCCCAACAAUAGCCGAUGUACCAUUUUUGAUACUAUCAAGAAUGUGAUCAAUACCUCCAAAGAAAUCAUUACCGAUAUUUAUCCUGAUAUGAAGUAUCACCAACUGAAUCUUGAACAACUGAUGUAUCAAAAUUGUUAAUAAGAUCACAGGAAAUGUUCUCACAGGCAUCCAGCCAGUAAGAUGGGCCCCCGCCGCCGCCCACAGUGCCUGAAACCCUACCCUCACCGUCCGUCAUAGUGAUAUGCUAAAAAGGUACACACUAGCAACAGAGCACACUACACUCAAAAAGAAAAAUAUAAAUAUGUAUGUCAAAAAGAGAAACCAAAUAACACUAAAAUAAAAACAUGGAAAAGGGGUAGCAGUAUAAAUUAAAAUGGAAGCAGAGGAAAUGAAGAGAAAGCUGCAAAAUAAGCUGAUGGCACCAGCGGCUAAAUUGGGAAACGAAGUGCGUGUGGG
rnacentral:misc_RNA from 1 species